rnacentral:pre_miRNA from 1 species
AGAGAGCUUUCUUCAGUCCACUCAUGGGUGGCAAUAAGAUUUAAUUAGCUGCCGACUCAUUCAUCCAAAUACUGAGUUAAAGGGCUAGCUGAGGAGGUUACCCAGUAAAUGAGUGAAUGAAGCGGGAGACAAAUUGAAUCUUAAGCUUCCUGUACUUGGACUGAAGGGAGCUCCCU